UACAGAGGUCUCAAGCGUUGUUCGGAUUCAUUGGGCGUAAAGGGUGCGUAGGGGGCGCCGUAAGUCAGGUGUGAAAUCUCGGGGCUCAACCCCGAAACUGCACUUGAUACUGCGGUGCUCGAGUACUGGAGAGGAGAUUGGAAUUUACGGUGUAGCAGUGAAAUGCGUAGAUAUGCGGAGGAACACCGAUGGCGAAGGCAAUCCCCUGGGCCUGCACUGACGCUCAUGCACGAAAGCGUGGGGAGCAAACAGG
rnacentral:rRNA from 1 species